rnacentral:rRNA from 1 species
GCAGCCGCCGCGGUAAAACGAGGGGAGCUAGCGUUAUUCGGAAUUACUAGGCGUAAAGCGCACGUAGGCGGCUUUGUAAGUUAGAGGUGAAAGCCCAGAGCUCAACUCUGGAAUUGCCUUUAAGACUGCAUCGCUUGAAUCCAGGAGAGGUGAGUGGAAUUCCGAGUGUAGAGGUGAAAUUCGUAGAUAUUCGGAAGAACACCAGUGGCGAAGGCGGCUCACUGGACUGGUAUUGACGCUGAGGUGCGAAAGUGUGGGGAGCAAACAGGAUUAGAUACCCGCGUAGUCCCUGUCUCUUAUAC